UACGUAGGUGGCAAGCGUUGUCCGGAUUUACUGGGCGUAAAGAGCGCGCAGGCGGUCGUUCAAGUCGCGUGUGAAAGCCCCGGCUCAACUGGGAGGGUCACGCGAUACUGAUCGACUCGAAGGCAGGAGAGGGUAGUGGAAUUCCCGGUGUAGUGGUGAAAUGCGUAGAUAUCGGGAAGAACAUCAGUGGCGAAGGCGGCCUGCUGGGCUGUUGCUGACGCUGAGGCGCGACAGCGUGGGGAGCAAACGAGG
rnacentral:rRNA from 1 species